CUUACCUACACCUCCCAUGCC
rnacentral:miRNA from 1 species